UUCAUUUGAAAAAACGCACACUCUGUGAAGAGGGUCUCAUCAUUCACGUGUCUCUCCCUUAUCUUCUGCUUGUUCUCUUCUCUUCUAUUACUUUUUCUCUUCUCUCCUCGUUGUUUUCUGUUUGUUUCCCGAGAAUAACGUAAUUGGGAUUUUUGUGGGGCUGUCUGUUUAUAAAGGAUCUCUAUCACUUUCUUAUGAUUCAACACUGGUUUUCAUGCAAAAGGUUUUAGUUUUAGAGGUAAAAAUAAAAUGGAAGGGAAUAAGCAAAAGGGCAUCUCGUCGUCCUUCACUUCUGAGUUCUUUGAGUCCAUCAAAGAGUCUCAUCCUCCUCCUUCUUCUGCUGGUGGUUGGAUUUUUGGGUCCAUUUUUUCACCUCCAUCGCCCAAGACCAAGGUGUUGGGGAGAGAAUCUCUGCGCUCUGAAUUGAGUCGAAAAAUUGCCAAUGAAACCCGGAACUCCAAAAUUGGUAUUCAAGAUCACUCCUCCAAGUACAGUGGUAGCGAAGCUCAUAACACUGUGAAUAAGGAUAUGAGUUCCAUCUAUCAGGAUCAGAGAGUUCAACCGUGUCACCUUAGUUCAUCAAUUCAUUAUGGGGGCCAGGACAUCUGUCCUAGUCCUCAGAGUAUCCAUAAUGAGGGGUUCAACACUUUGCCGUACCAGAAUGAUGCCGGAGAUGAUGAAUCAGAACUUGCUUCAAGAGGAAACUGGUGGCAAGGGUCUCUCUAUUAUUAAGAUCACCCUUGCCCAAGGUACAUAGCAGGAUAGUGUACUCCAUCGUUUGUUAUAUGGAAGAGCCAUACAGUAAUGUUGUGGAUAGCAAUUGGCUUUGACAAAAUCAUCAUAUGAAUGUAUUAUCAUAGUGUCUUUUGUAGGCACACCUGCACCGUCAUCAGAGCUUCACCAGGGUAAGGAAAUGUCAAGCCAGCAACCAGAUACUAGAGCCGCGCAAAAGAUUUGUGGAGUACAACUUGGUGUUGUAAGAACAUUUACCAUGCACACUACACUUAUAUAGUUAUUAAGCUACAUGAUUGGGAGGAAACCACCUCAAAAAGGCUUGUAGAGUAAUUACCACUAAGUACAAAUGUUUGUGGUUUAUAUUGGGUAACAGUUCCUAAACAAGGCUCUGAAAACAAUUACAUGUUAUCAGUGUCUUACUAGGUUCUUUCCCUAUGAUUUUUGUUCAAGGAAAAUAGGUUGUACAUGAUUUGUUGU